CACGAAUCGUUGCGAACCCACUCAGCCGUCUCCGCUGGCCUCUCCGCCUGCCUCGCCGCCCGCCGCCCUUCCCCAACCGCGCCGCCUGCGCCUCCCUCCGCUUGCAACAACCGCCGUUGUCCUCCCUGCCAGGCAACCCACCGAUGUCAUCUUCCUGGCGCCGACUCCUUUCCCGCGGUGGCCACUAGCCCGCGCGAGGCCAGGCCGAGGCUAGUAGCGGCGCCCGCGAACCAGCGGAGGGCAGGUCCAGGCGAUGCGGCCACCGCCGCCGCCGCCUCCAUCGUUUGCUCCUCCCUCGACAACUCCUCUGCCGGCGUUGCCUCGGCCUCGACCUCGUCAUCAGCCUCGUCCGAGCCGACGCCCAGGCGAUGCCACCUAAUCCUCAAGUGAUGGGCGCGCGCGUGCACCAUCCUCGAAGACCACGGCGGCGGCGGCGGCGCGCGGCGGCGGCUCGCUCUGGGAGGCGCUCCCCGCCAUCGCUGUCGUCGGUGGGCAGAGUUCCGGGAAGUCAUUGGUGCUCGAGAGCAUAGUGGGGAGGGACUUCCUGCCUCGUGGAUCUGGUAAUGUUGUGGCUGGAUCGCGUGCGUGCUCUUUCAUUUCAAUCUAAUGCUCCGCAGGAGGACGGCGGGAGAGAUGAGUAGCACAACGGCAGCCUCGACAUCCAAUCGCUCCACCUCCACCAUGGCUCCUGCGGAGAGGAAAGCGACGGAAAAGAGCAACAUGGCCACCGCCUCUAUCGAUGGAGACGACUGCAUAGAUAGCGGCAGCAGGGCUGUAUGGUUCCACAAUUCCAUCUCCGUGCUCAUGGCUAUCAGGAGCCUCUCAACCCCGAAAUCCAAUCAGCUUAUCUUUAGCCUGCGAGUCUCCGGACGACUGCUUCCCGGUUGGAGAAGGUGAUUGCUGGUCAGAAGAACUGAAGAAGCUCAAGUUCGCCUGGUAGUCUUGGGUCGUUGAAAAUUGACCCUUCGCUUUGGCCCUUCAGCUGGUUGGCUUCGCUCGAUGUCACACGCUGGUUGGCCUUCGCCCGGCAACCACCCCCAACAUAGUACUAUCAUUAGCCGUUGACAAAGAACUAUUGUUUUGCACUAUAUACAUUACCAUCAAUAAUAAUAAUUUCUCAAGGAAUUGUAGACUAUGAGAGGACUUGCAUACAUACAAUCUUUUUGACUAAAUGUUUCUCAGGGCUUUUAAAACAAAGUUACCCUGAGUUUGGUUUCCAUGGGGACUUGCCUCAAGGAGACAUGCCUACUCAGAUGCCUCUGCACUACAAAAGCACAGUGCCUUUCCUAAAAUACUCGACAGGUACACAUUUCUCACAAGUAGUUUUCUUUUUUACCUAAGCCUUUUUAGCUUUCCUCACACAACUCAAAUGUCUGUCAACUGCGGGAAUUGCAUAGAGCAAGUAUUAUAAUGUGUACUGUCAAAGCCAUAAAAGAAAUGUGUACUGCAGGUAUUAUAAUGAUCUGGUUUUGAAGCCUUUUAACAUACAUGCCAUGACUGUCAUUGAAAAUGAAUACGCUCCUAUGAUUAUUAUCUGAACUACAUAGUCCACAGUAGAUUCCAAAACUAGACCCUUGACAUGCAUGACAUGAACAUGAAUUACAUGACUUUAAAGGUUUGACCAAGUUAGAGAACACCAUAAUACACUGCUCAUAUGCAUAGUACUAAGUUACUACACUGGACCUCUUUUGAUCAAAGUUACUGCAUGGUUGAGCUUCUGGACAUUCUAUGCAUGAACUGUGAGCAUAUAGCUUUCACCAUACAUAAGAAAAGCUACAUAAUAAUUGUCUUUCAUAAGAAAUGGGAAUAUGCCAAUUUUCACAUCAAAAGGAUAUGCCUGUGGUUGCAUUACUCCAUAAUAAUUUCCUAAUCAACAUGCUUAAAGCAGAUUAUACGGAAUUCAUAGAGCAAAAGCUGGAUCUUAUGUCUACUGUCCUUUUUUUUCUUUCCCUCACAAGGUACUCCAGAGGUUUGCAGAUACUGCAAUUCAAGCAAAACUAGUAUUAAACUUCGUCUUCUCAAGAGCUCUGCAUUAGGUCAAUCUGCAUAAAGGAAACUUUCUGUUAUACUCACAUAUACACAUACCACAUGAAGCUGCCAAAUUAGAUAGUAGAGAUAUAAUACAAACAUAAUGGAUACAUCCAAAGAUUUUGAGCUAAGCAGCUCGGCCUUUCUCAAGAGUUGACAACUUUAAUUUAGCCUUCAGUGACAUGCUACAUCAUGCUAAGUAGUAUUUCUUUGGUAUUCCACACAUAGAGGAUUUCAGCCAUAUUUUAUGGCAGGUCAAGGAAAAAGAAAAAACAUCUUCGUUCCCCUCAAUUAAGCUCCAGACCAGCUUGUGAUUGCAUGUGGCCUGCAAC